rnacentral:rRNA from 1 species
UAGGGAAUCUUCGGCAAUGGACGAAAGUCUGACCGAGCAACGCCGCGGGAGUGAAGAAGGUUUUCGGAUCGUAAAACUCUGUUGUUAGAGAAGAACAAGGACGUUAGUAACUGAACGUCCCCUGACGGUAUCUAACCAGAAAGCCACGGCUAACUACGUGCCAGCAGCCGCGGUAAUACGUAGGUGGCAAGCGUUGUCCGGAUUUAUUGGGCGUAAAGCGAGCGCAGGCGGUUUCUUAAGUCUGAUGUGAAAGCCCCCGGCUCAACCGGGGAGGGUCAUUGGAAACUGGGAGACUUGAGUGCAGAAGAGGAGAGUGGAAUUCCAUGUGUAGCGGUGAAGUGCGUAGAUAUAUGGAGGAACACCAGUGGCGAAGGCGGCUCUCUGGUCUGUAACUGACGCUGAGGCUCGAAAGCGUGGGGAGCAAACAGG